rnacentral:rRNA from 1 species
AGAGUUUGAUCCUGGCUCAGAACGAACGCUGGCGGCAUGGCUAAGACAUGCAAGUCGUACGGACCAUUUUUUGCUUGCAUUGGAUGGUUAGUGGCGCAAGGGAGAGUAAUGCAUGGGUAACGUACCCUGGAUACCGGGAUAACCACGGCUUCGGCCUUUAGCGAAAGUGUGGCUAAUACCGGAUGACAUCGCUGUAUCGCAUGAUACUGGCGAUCAAAAGGUGGGGAUCCUUCGGGACCUGCUGAUCUGGGAGCGGCCCAUGUCCUAUCAGCUUGUUGGUGAGGUAACGGCUUACCAAGGCAUCGACGGGUAGCGGGCGUGAGAGCGUGAACCGCCUCAUCGGAACUGAGACACUGUCCGGACACCUACGGGUGGCUGCAGUAACGAAUAUUGGGCAAUGGGCGAAAGCCUGACCCAGCAAUGCCGCGUGCAGGAGGAAGCCCUUCGGGGUGUAAACUGCUGUCAGGUCCUCGCAAGCGGAGGGUGUUAAUAGCGCCCCGAGUUGAGCAGGACCAAAGGAAGCAUCGGCUAACUCUGUGCCAGCAGCCGCGGUAAGACAGAGGAUGCAAGCGUUGUUCGGAAUCAUUGGGCUUAAAGAGGGUGUAGGCGGCUGUGUAAGCGUUGUGUGAAAUCCCACGGCUCAACCGUGGAAUUGCACGGCGAACUACGCAGCUUGAGGUCGUAGAGGUGCCUGGAAC